CCUAGAAAUAUUAGUGAAAUUUUUUAUUAUACUCAUACAGUCCAUGCCAACUUCCAUCAAGGUCAUGCAUUAAUAUUUGUAGAAGUAAAUGUUUGUUUGCAUUAUCAUAAGUUUCAUGACAGUGAUUAGCCAGUCCAACGACUUCAUAGGCUGUCAUCAAAGUCUUUCAACAUAAUUUAUUAAAUGACAGUAUUAAACAGUUCAUAAAUGUUUCAUUUUAUGGACUUGGUUGUGAAAUAUUAAGCACAAGGAUUCAGGGACGUAGGAAGCAACGUGAGUUCGGGGGGGGGGACUACAUGUUAAGACAGGCACCUUUUUCCAUUAAAAAAGACUGAAUCCGUACGAGAUCGAGGUUUUAUAAUAAAAAUACACAAGUUCACAUACUUCCCGCCACUUCCCGCCAACAGCAAUUCCCAACAGCAAUUCCCAACCAUGUUCCAAUCAUUUGAACCAACCAUGUGUCCAUGUCGAUAUAUUUUAUCAAUCGUAAAACACGCCAUAUCAUAAAGGAAACUUUGGAAAGUACCUCCAGAACUCCUUCAAAAGUUCAAACUAGUACUUUUUUCGGCCAUUGAUACAGUAAAGUCAGGUCAGUUUUAAAGGAAAUGUUUUAUGUUCAUAAUAAUAAAUUUCUCAACGUCUCCAGGAUGUAGUAAAAUCCACUGAGCUGUAUAAUAACUGGAGGACCUGCUCCUAUACUUCGUUCAGUCAACGAAGUGCAGUGAGCUCCAUAUAUAUCUGGAGUAAGAACUCAGUCAUUCGGUCAAUGAGAAAAGUGAAGCCAAGUGAAACCAAGAUGGCGGCCAUUGACGUCCAAUAGCUCAGAAGGUCGUAAACAGUUUUUAUACCAUUUUCCCCAGCUAAUUCCAGUUUUUUUUAAUGGACCAUAUCACUAAUCAAGUUUUCAGUUCAUAAAAUCACAAUAUUAUUCUUUAAAUCGAAGUCAAAAUACGAAAUUUCAACACACUCCUUGCCAAGAUGGCGGAAAUUGAAGGAGCUGUUGGACGUCAGUUCCAGUCCCUUUCUAUUGUUUUUGUAUGCGCGGUUAACACGAAACUGGCUUCACUUUGAGCAACCAAGUUCCUACUCCAGAUAUAUAUGGAGCUCACUGACGAAGUGUCGCCAAAAAAAUGGCGGAUUUUGAUGAAAAAUGACGCCAUUUCCAUGACUACUGGUCCCUAAAUUCAUGGUAAUUGCCACUGAACAAGGCUCAAUUAUGAGCCCGCCACAGUUUUCACUCCCCCCUGGCACAGAGUAUACAGAGGCGGAACUCGCGGCGAUUCCUUUGUUCUUUGUGUCCCCGUGCCACGUCAUUUCCACGCGCCACGCAAAUUGCUCUGGCAAGUGUCAUUCGUCGUGUUUUCAGUCAAAAGCAUAGGAAAAACACCGUUCGAAAGUAGAAAAAUAAAUAUUUUUGCGAAGUUGCUCGACCGAUCUUCAUUUUGGGACUCAAAUUUGAAAGAUAAAUGGUAAGUGGUUAUUUUUAUGUAAAAAGAUAUACGUUUAUAGGCUAAAUACAAAGAAAAAA